rnacentral:rRNA from 1 species
AGUGAACGCUGGCGGUAGGCCUAACACAUGCAAGACGAACGGCAGCACAGUAAGUGCUUGCUCUUACGGGUGGCGAGUGGCGGACGUGUGAGGAAUACAUCGGAAUCUACUUUUUCGUGGGGGUUAACGUAGGGAAACUUACGCUCAUACCGCAUACGACCUACGGGUGAAAGCAGGGGAUCUUCGGACCUUGCGCGAUUGAAUGAGCCGAUGUGGGAUUAGCUAGUUGGCGGGGUAAUGGCCCACCAAGGCGACGAUCCGUAGCUGGUCUGAGUGGAUGGUAGGCGACACUGGAGCUGAGACACGCACCAGACGCCUACGGGAGGCAGCAGUGGGGAAUAGUAGACAGAGGGCGCGAGCAUGAUACAGCGAUACCGCGUGGGAGAAGGAGGCGUUCGGGUUGUGAAGCCCUUUUGUUGGGAAAGAAAAGCAGCAGGUUGAGACCCCGCUGUUCUGACGGUAACGGAUAAAUAAGCACCGGCUAACUUCGUG